CGUGAGGUCGGAAGUUCAAGUCUUCCCAGGCCCACCAUUUUGAUCGAGUGCGGAGCAUUCGUCUUCUGGUACGGGGCCAUAGCUCAGCUGGGAGAGCGCGUGCUUUGCAAGCAUGAGGUCGUCGGUUCGAUCCCGUCUGGCUCCACCAGAUGGAAUUGAAGCUCGAGAAUGCGCCUUGUGCAGGAAGCUCUGUUCAAUAUCGUCCGCGAAACAUCACUUCGCACUCAUUGGUCCGGAUGGACGGUGACGUGCGUGUUUUCUGACAUCGUAAAGAGGAGAUCGAUCCGAGUUUGGAUCUGCGAAGCAAUUCGCGGGUGCCAUUCCUAAUCUCCAGAUCGUUUUCGGCGCUCGUUCAUCGCUAUUCAUCGCAAGAUGAGUGAGAUGAUCGAGUUGUAAAACGAUCUUUGUAGCGAAGCUUGACCGCCUCGCUAUCGGGCCGAUCUUACGAAGCAAGCUGGUCUUUCUAGUCAAUGUCCGGCUGCACAUAGCGUUCAUCGAGGGCGCGCGCCGUAAGGCAAUUGUGCAGACAACAUUCUGCCGAGUGUGUGGACAUUGAUAAUGAGAGC
rnacentral:tRNA from 1 species